CAGCCGCCGCGGUAAUACGUAGGUGGCAAGCGUUGUCCGGAAUUAUUGGGCGUAAAGGGCUCGCAGGCGGUUUCUUAAGUCUGAUGUGAAAGCCCCCGGCUCAACCGGGGAGGGUCAUUGGAAACUGGGAAACUUGAGUGCAGAAGAGGAGAGUGGAAUUCCACGUGUAGCGGUGAAAUGCGUAGAGAUGUGGAGGAACACCAGCGGCGAAGGCGACUCUCUGGUCUGUAACUGACGCUGAGGAGCGAAAGCGUGGGGAGCGAACAGGAUUAGAUACCCCUGUAGUCCCUGUCUCUUAUAC
rnacentral:rRNA from 1 species